ACAACGGUCCUUCUCAGGACCACCAUAGAAAUGAAAAGAAUCUUG
rfam:Daphnia magna strain Xinb3 scaffold00868, whole genome shotgun sequence.